UAUCAAAAGACUUUCCAUAUUUUCUCUAGGUUUUUUUUAGUCUACUUACUUUCUUCUCCGGCGUUCGCUUGAGCUAUAUCUUUGAGUCUUUACUUCUUUUAUUCUCGAUCUUCUAACUUUUUGUGGUGGUCUUCUUUGCAGCGGAAGGAGAGAGAUCUCUUUUGCACUCUGCGGUCCAGAUCUAUUCCGAGUCAGAUCUGGUGGUGCAUGGUGUUAUCAGUGUGCUUGAAGAUGAUCUUCUCGGGUCGACGAUGCGCUGAGGCAUUGGGUUGUCUCUCCUCUGGUUGUCUCUUCCCAAUGUGGUGUUAGGCUGGUUGCGGAGGCGUCUUCGUCGUGAGGUAGGGUUCAAGAUUUGUGGAUCUCUUGUCUCUCUCCUCCUGCUUUGCUCUCCUCCGGCAUGUCUCUUGCUUGUGGCGGCGUGUGGGAGAGGUUGACUUCUCUACAUGCAUCUGUGACAUGCGUUAAGAUGUUAACUUCUCUCCAAAAUGGUCUUGUGGCAUUGGUAGUACGUCAGUUUGGCUUCUGGUUUUCUAGCUUGCUUGGUGGUAUUUCUCUGGAGGAGGUGAACCCACCCAAUCCUUUUACUCUAUAUGGACUUAAUGGUUUAAUGGGUGUAGACGGUCCCGGAUUGGUGGACUAUAAACAAAAAUCUUCAUCUUAAUUCUCCGAACGACGGCAUUAUUGGUUGCGGGAUACUCCUCUUGAUGCCGGUUUGGUGCUUCUUGGGUGAGUUAGCAGGUUG